rnacentral:rRNA from 1 species
GAUGAACGCUAGCGGGAGGCUUAACACAUGCAAGUCGAGGGGCAGCACGAGGUAGCAAUACCUUGGUGGCGACCGGCAGACGGGUGAGUAACGCGUAUGUAACCUACCCUGUACUGGGGGAUAACCCGGAGAAAUUCGGACUAAUACCCCAUAGAAAUAUAGAGAGGCAUCUUGAAAUACUUAAAGUUUCGACGGUACGGGAUGGGCAUGCGUAACAUUAGCUAGUUGGUAAGGUAACGGCUUACCAAGGCUUUGAUGUUUAGGGGUCCUGAGAGGGUGAUCCCCCACACUGGUACUGAGACACGGACCAGACUCCUACGGGAGGCAGCAGUGAGGAAUAUUGGUCAAUGGGCGAAAGCCUGAACCAGCCAUCCCGCGUGCAGGAAGACGGCCCUAUGGGUUGUAAACUGCUUUUCCAGGAGGAGAAACUCUCGUACGUGAUACGGGAUUGACGGUACCCUGGGAAUAAGCAUCGGCUAACUCCGUGCCAGCCGCCGCCGUAAAAC